ensembl:lncRNA
CAGCUUUAAUUCAAAGAUUGAACCAAAAUAUCAUAUGAAACGUUUAGGAAUUACAACCAUUUUUAUACACAAUCAUAAAUGAAAUGGUAAUGUUUUAUACUUUGUCGAGAAUCCUUUGCAGGCAAUGAAUGCUUGUCUGGAACGCUUGUCUAGUAAGAGUCUGAACAACCAGAAAGAUAUGAAUGGGGGAGGAAGAGAGAUUGAGGUAGAGAGCAGGGGAGAUGGAGGAAGAGAGAAUGAGGUUGAGAGCAGGGGAGAUGGAGGAAGAGAGAAUGAGGUAGAGAGCAGGGGAGACGGAGGAAGAGAGAAUGAGGUUGAGAGCAGGGGAGAUGGAGGAAGAGAGAAUGAGGUUGAGAGCAGGGGAGACGGAGGAAGAGAGAAUGAGGUUGAGAGCAGGGGAGACGGAGGAAGAGAGAGAAGAUCAUGUCUAUAAUAUGAUGACCUUUAAUGUAAACACAGCUGGGGAAUCCACUGACUUGGUGUGUGUGUGUGUAUGUGUGUGUGCUUUUCUGUCUGCUUCUUGCUCACGCUUUCUUUCUUUUUCUGUAUCAGUGUUUCUCAAGCUGUCAGAGCUUCUCUCUAUCUGUAAGUCUUCAUAUCUCCUUCUGUCCCUUUCUCACACACACACACUGGAACACACACCCACACACACUGUCAUACACAAACACACACACACACUCAGUAUGGCUGGGCGAUUAAAUGAUUAUAUAAUAAUAAUAAUAUAGUUUAUUGUGUUGCUGUACACAUUGUUGGUGUCAUGCGUCCCGCCUCUAACGUUGUGGGGAUGGUAGAGAACACUUUCUGGGUUGCACAUACGCCACCACUUCUGUCACACAGGCUCUAUCAAAUCUGACUCAGAGAGUCCAGACGGCCUGUUGAAGCCUUUGACAUAAACAACAGGAUGAUUCAUACACUCCUUUUUAAAGAGGGUAUGAGGGAAUACCACAUCUUGUUUUUUAAAGAGAUAAUGAGGGAAUACCACAUCUUGUUUUUUAAAGAGAUAAUGCGGGAAUGCCCCCAUCUGGCAAUUGUCUCGCACCUUGUAUAGCCGUUGUUGAUGAGGCUAAUGUGGGAACUGUAUUCAGGCACGUAAAAAGGCUGAUUUAAUGUCGAGUACAAAACAUGCCAGGGCCUCCCAGGUGGCACUGCAGUCCAAGACGCUGUUUUGUAGCAUCACACUGAGCACCACAGUCAAGGUUUCUGAGCUCAUGGCGCUCCAGCUGAUAUCCUCAGGUGUCUUUGACACCUGCAAAGUACACAGCAAAUCCCACCGUGUUAAAUAAACAUAGUGUUAGAAUCAGAUAUACACUGGAACCAGUGUUAAAUAAACACAGUGUUAGAAUCAGACAUACACUGGAACCAGUGUUAAAUAAACCCAGUGUUAGAAUCAGAUAUACACUGGAACCAGUGUUAAAUAAACACAGUGUUAGAAUCAGAUAUACACUGGAACCAGUGUUAAAUAAACAGUGUUUGAAUCAGACAUACACUGGAACCAGUGUUAAAUAAACACAGUGUUUGAAUCAGAUAUACACUGGAACCAGUGUUAAAUAAACACAGUGUUUGAAUCAGAUAUACACUGGAACCAGUGUUAAAUAAACACAGUGUUAGAAUC